rnacentral:rRNA from 1 species
CCUACGGGAGGCAGCAGUGGGGAAUAUUGGGCAAUGGAGGAAACUCUGACCCAGCGACGCCGCGUGCGGGAUGAAGGCCUUCGGGUUGUAAACCGCUUUCAGCAGGGAAGAAGCGAAAGUGACGGUACCUGCAGAAGAAGCACCGGCUAACUAUGUGCCAGCAGCCGCGGUAAUACAUAGGGUGCAAGCGUUGUCCGGAAUUAUUGGGCGUAAAGAGCUCGUAGGUGGUUCGUCACGUCGGAUGUGAAAAUCUGGGGCUUAACCCCAGACCUGCAUUCGAUACGGGCGAGCUUGAGUAUGGUAGGGGAGUCUGGAAUUCCUGGUGUAGCGGUGGAAUGCGCAGAUAUCAGGAGGAACACCAAUGGCGAAGGCAGGACUCUGGGCCAUUACUGACACUGAGGAGCGAAAGCGUGGGGAGCGGAACAGGAUUAGGAUACCCUGGUAGUCCACGCCGUAAACGGUGGGCACUAGUUGUGGGGACCUUCCACGGUCUCUGCGACGCAGCUAACGCAUUAAGUGCCCGCCUGGGGAGUACGAUCGCAAGNUUAAAACUCAAAUGAAUUGAGGCUGAGACGNGCGAGACGACGACGAGGGAGAGG